GUCCGCACCUGUCCUGCCCGCAUUCCGCGAGCCGAGCUGCUUUGUAGCCGGCAGGCGUCGGGGAUCCUUUUUGCUGCGGAGUCGGUGAUGCACAUUCAUGAAUUAAAAUUAAGGAUUUGCGGAGAACGAAGGAAAACGUACUUGGAUUUAGGUUGCUUUUGAAAAGGAAUCCACCAAAGAAGCAGCGAUGCCUUUGCAAGAGCAUUAACUACUGACUGGAACACUGGAUGCGGGUGCAUGACGAGGAUUUGUACUCCAAAAACUUUUUUUUUUUAAAUUGCACGUUGGUAAAUAUUAAGUGCUCUCAAGCAAUACCUUACAGUAUGUAUUUAAUGUCCUCAUUGCGGAAAUUGCUUAAAUGUUCUUCAGAAGAGGAUGAGGUCAUUCAACCAGUUUUCAUCAGCCCCAGAGUGAAUCCUUUGACAUGGAGAUGAUGCUCUAAUGAGUAUCAUGAAAAAGAAGAUUCUGAAAAGUUGUUACAAUAUUUUAAUUUACCAACUAGUUUCUGAUAACUGUAGAUUGUGGUUUUUCUGUGGGGGCAAACUGGAGACAGUCCAGAUAACCUUUUUCUUUUCUGUUGGGAAAUAAUGUUAACACCAAUGUGUUAAGUGACUGCAAUAAAGUUUCAUGUCUGUGUUUCCUUGUGAUUAAAAAGGGGUUGUUUGGGAGAGGAUCCACUUUCACCAAAAAGAAUGGCUAUUUCCAGGGAUUACAUUUAAGCUGAAAUACUUGAACAUCAACUGGUCCAGUCUCUCUUCACUUUGCAAAUGAAGUAACUGAGGCCAGAGAAUCUUAGUGAUUAGCAAGGUCAGCAAGUGGGACCAGAACUCUGGCUUCUAGUUUCUGGCUGGAUGUUCUUUCUCCACAGGUUUGCUUCCCACACAGGCAUCUUUAAAACCUGAUUUCUUCCCACUCCUCUCAUCUUUUAUUCCCCUACUGUUCUUUUCCUUCCCAUGUUCCAUACACCUGACCCCUUCUCCCAAAUAAAGCCAAAGUGGAAAUAUUAAAAUAAAUACCUGGAAAACA